CAUUAGUUUAUACGGUAUCAAAUAUCAGGAGAGGGACAGAUUUGAGAGAGCGGUGAUGGAGGAUCCGGCCGUCGUCUCCGGCCGGCCACCAUCGGGUUAAACCGCUGGUGAUGGUAUGGUGGUUUUGACGCAGCAAACAACGAUGGUAGUUGACGGCGACCGUAACCACUGUGGAUUCUAGGGUUCCGGGGGAAGAAAGAGAGAAAGGGAAAGCUGAUGGGGUUGCAGCGGCGCCACGGCCCUACGGCGCGUCACCUCCUCCUCUGUUUCUUUACCUUUUAGUUAUACAUCUCGCUCUUCUUUAGCUCGGUGUUCUACGACUUUUGUGAACGGCAUUAAUGGCGUCUCAUGGCGGCGAUGGUCGUUGGUUGCUUGCCAGGGUUGAUAUUGUUGUUCUGUUGCUGCUUCAAGUUGGAAAAGGAGUUUUUUCUCCAACCCUAUGCAGUUGAUUCAGGCGUUGUAGAGGAUAUUUUAAUCAGGUGUUGCUUGGCGAGAUCCAAAGAGUAUCCUCGAGGGAAGGUAGGGCUGCCGUUAAACUUCAUUGAUAAUGGGUUUUUCAACAGUAAGUUCGUUAGUUUCAAUGAAAUUAUAUAUUUAUAUGUGUUUUUCUUGAGAUUGUGUUUGCUUCGUUGGAUAUUUUGACUUUGUUCAGGUGCAUGACAUCAGAUUAUGAUGCAAUAUCCAUCAUAUUUGAUGUUCAUAGAUAUGCCAAAACACCAAAAGAUGCAGUUGCAGAAGUGGUUAAAGCAGGUGACAGAGGAUGGACGGCAAAGAAAUAUAAACUCUUAGGCUGGAAGGAGCUAUACCACCAAUAGAAGUCCAACUUCUACGCAGCUGGAUUCCCGCCUUUAGAGACGUCAAAACAUGCUACACACUGGUCAACUGACAGGGUCCUCAACACCUCCCUUCUUUGCCUCUACAACACUAGAGCACGUGUCCUUCUUUCAAGGCCUUCAACCUGAACUAUAUCAACAAUUUGAGCUCAAGGAAGUUGCAAACUUUUUAUCUGGAGCCAUCACCAGCAAAGAGAGUACUAAAGUAUACGCAACCUAUGGCAAAUGCAGCUGAAAAGUCAGAAAUGCUAAAACGUCAUGACAAAGAAGGUGGGGACCUUGACGUUACAUGUCGAACUCAUGUCACGAUUAUAAGUCACGAGAAUCAGUUGGUGAUUCAACACCAGAAUUCUACAAUGACAUCCUCUUCUUUGGUGUAAUCGACAUAUUAAAAGAUUUUGACAUCAGCAAAAAAGCAUGAGCACGCCUAUAAAGUAUUCUAAUACGACCCGGCUUCCAUUUCGCUCACAUGCAUACAAAAACUCCGGAUGACAAUUAAGCACUCUACUACAGAUGAAGAAAGCAGCAAACACCACAAAGGGAAAUCGCCUUGAAAGGUCAACGCAAAGGUCCUUUUGCUUCUAGGUAUGUAUGUGGACAUGUAAUCUUUUGGGUCCACUUAAUAUGUAAUAUUUUGGUUCAACUAAAACAUUUUCUCCAAUUCAACCCAGAUUGUGUGUAUGUACAUUGUAUAAAGUCCAAUUCACACAUAUCAACGCGCGAUGAUGAAUAACACUAGUUUCACCCAAAAACUUGAGAUAUACUUGAAGCUUAUCAAAUAACGAUUGGAUUGA